GAUGAACGCUGGCGGCGUGCCUAAUACAUGCAAGUCGAACGAUCGACUUCGGUCGAUAGUGGCGAACGGGUGAGUAACGCGUUGGUGACCUGCCCCGAAGAGAGGGAUAACAGGCCGAAAGGCCUGCUAAUACCGCAUGAGCUAGCCAUGGAUUAGGAAGUGGUUAGGAAAAGGAGCAAUCCGCUUUGGGAGGGGCCUGCGUCCCAUCAGCUAGUUGGUGAGGUAAUGGCCCACCAAGGCUACGACGGGUAUGGGACCUGAGAGGGUGGUCCCACGCAAUGGCACUGAAACACGGGCCAUACACCUACGGGAGGCAG
rnacentral:rRNA from 1 species